rnacentral:rRNA from 1 species
UACGUAGGGGGCUAGCGUUGUCCGGGAUCAUUGGGCGUAAAGCGCGUGUAGGCGGUCCGGUAAGUCCGCUGUGAAAGUCGGGGGCUCAACCCUCGGAUGCCGGUGGAUACUGUCGGGCUUGAGUACGGAAGAGGCGAGUGGAAUUCCUGGUGUAGCGGUGAAAUGCGCAGAUAUCAGGAGGAACACCAAUUGCGAAGGCAGCUCGCUGGGACGUUACUGACGCUGAGGAGCGAAAGCAUGGGGAGCGAACAGG